rnacentral:rRNA from 1 species
CACGUAGGGGGCAAGCGUUGUCCGGAAUCAUUGGGCGUAAAGAGCUCGUAGGCGGCUCGGUAAGUCGGGUGUGAAACCCCCAGGCUCAACCUGGGGACGCCACCCGAUACUGCUGUGGCUAGAGUCCAGUAGGGGAGUGUGGAAUUCCCGGUGUAGCGGUGAAAUGCGCAGAUAUCGGGAGGAACACCAGCGGCGAAGGCGGCACUCUGGGCUGGAACUGACGCUGAGGAGCGAAAGCGCGGGGAGCGAACGGG